GUGAGCAUGUGAUGCAAUGCAACAUUUCUCCAAAUAGGUCCAAAUAAAGAAAUAAACUCUAAUCUACAUGCAGCACUUUAUUUAUUUAUUUUUAUUUUUUAGUUGAAGUAUUUCUUUAAAGGGGGGUACAAUGGUAUUUCGUUUAUUCAGAGUUGUUCACAGUGUUAAAGAGAUGGAUUCUCAUGCUAAACAUGGCCAAAGUUUUAAAAAAUAAUGUAGAAGAAUGCCAAAAAUCUUACUUCCGUUGUCGGCUGUUUUUUUAUUUUUUUUUUAUUUUUAUUUUUUCUUCCGGUGUCGGCUGUUUUUUUUUUUUCAAUCGUGUAUCUAAUGACGUAGACUAGAACGGAAGUCCUUACAUGAGCAUUUCUGUCGGAAAAGCGCGCCCGCGCACACGUUGGACAGGGGAGAGCGAGACCACGCACAUCAACGCGCUUCAAAAUCGUCGGCAGCGCUGCGUAGGAUUUGUUCGAGAAUGCCUCCAAAUAAGUGCGUUUUUGGAUGUGAGGGAAAGUUUACUGUGUACAGCUCCCCAAAGAACCCAGCGUUACAUGAACAGUGGAUGCAGUUUUUAGUUUUUUUCUGGGAAGCAAUGGAGUGUAUCAAGUGCAUUUGUGUGUUCUGGUCACGAAAGUUUUAUAAACAAGGCCCAAGUCGACGCUGUAUUUGCACAUCGUUUGCUAUUAAACAUGGAGCUGACCCUGUGACAAAAGACCCCAUUCAUUCUGUCACUAAUGACUCUUGUCGAUUUGGGCACCAGCGUCAGGCGCCCUAGUGUUCUUGACAGCUUGGGAAAAGCACCUGUCAAGCCUCUGAAGACGGUCUCAGCGUCUGUGCCCUGGUGGCAGGAUGAUAAUGACAUUGAAGAGGCACCAGGCAAGCCUUAACAUGAAACCCGCAGGGCAAGCGGAAAAGAGGCAGGCCAAGAAACACAUGGCGUCGAGAACUGGAGGCAGAUAUAAAGAACAUGAAUAUUACCUGGAACCAACUAGAGAAGAGACCCCAGGACAGAGACUCUUGGAGAUCCCUAAUUGGCGGCCUAUGCCCCAAAAGUCUCUGAGGAAGACGCCAUCCAUUAAGUGGACGAAGAACAGCCGAAGGAGCUAUUCUUGGAGGAUGAAGGGAAUAGAGACCAAGUCAUAUUUAGUAGAGACAGUCUUGAGACUGAAGAAACCUGAAAGACAUCAGAUGCUGGCCAAAGUGUCACUGCAUGACUCUCUAAAUUCCACGGAUGGAGCAUUGCCUUCUGCAGUUCCCAGUGUGGCAACGAGGAAAGAAAAGUGA
ensembl:lncRNA